CAACUCCCUCUUCUCUCCCCAGGUAUCAGGUGAAUAGAGAAGAUAUAGAAGAGGUCCUUGGUUUCCGAAUUGCCACUGGAUUGCCUCUAUCAAAUAUCCAAGAGUUUCAUGAGUGAGAAAUAACCUUCUGUUGCUUUAAAUCUUGGGUUGUGCAAUGCAUCAGUGAGCCUACCAUGACUAACACAUCCUAUGAAUGUAGAUUUCUCUUCUCUAGCCACUGACAUGAGUGUGCAUUCUGGAUGCAGUCACAGGGGACUCAAGAUUCUUGGACAGAAUUCUCGCCGGGAGCCAACUCAGCCUGAUCUGCUGGCAUCUCUCAAGUAUCCGAAGUCAACAAAAUGGUUUGCCUUGAAGACUUGGCCAGAGCAGCAGCCAAAGUUCAUCAGGCUUUCAUAGAGAGAUUGUUGUUCUAAGAAAACAAAAUUCUAAGGGUUCCCAUUGUGCAACUGGGGUGGCAAAAUGCAAACUAGUAUAAGGAAAAAAAAUGCGAUUCAUUGCCAUGGAAGAAGUGACCCAUCCUACUGUUUUGAUAUUUCCUUUCCUGUGCUAACUUAUUCCAUUAAUUAGGUUCUCAUUUUAUGAGAUAAAUUUCACUGCAUGCAUAUCUUCUUUUGGUUAUUACACAAGGACUGUUUUCUAUGGUUCAUAUCUAAGUCUAGCCCUGGAAGAAUCUUUUUUUUUUUUUGAGAGAGACUUUUUUGUUUUGUUUUGAGACAACACUCCCUCUGUUGCCCAGGCUGGAAUGCAGUGACGAGAUCAUAGCUCACUGCAACUUCUGCCUCCUAGGCUCAAACAGUCCUCCCACCUCAGCCUCCCAAGUUGCUGGGAUUAUAGGCAUGUGCCAUCACACCCGGCUAAUUUUUGGAUUUUUAGUAGAAAUGAAGUUUUGCCAUGUUGGCCAGGCUGAUCUCAAACUCCUGCCCUCAAGUGAUCUGCCCUCGUCAGCCUCCCAAAGUGCUGGGAUUACAGGUGUGAGCCACCGUGCCCAGCUUGGCCUUGGAAAAAUCUUGAUGUAGAAUUUAUCUGCAGGUAUCUCCAUCUCUAUUUUCCAUUCUUAGUAAAUGUUUUAGUCUGACAGUAAAUGUGUUGAGACAUUUAUGAUUGAGAGAGCGCCUGAGCAGCCCAAAGUGCUGGGAGUCUCUCCUAAGGAAUUAGAUGCACGCAGCUUUUUUCCCUCACAGACACUUUACUGAGCAGUCAUGUUGGGCUUGGGUGGCAUCUGCUAUUAAGACACACUAUUCAGCAAUAAAACCCUGAAAAUUGCAUUGCACAGGACUGAUAAAAAUGAAAUGACUUAAGAAACAUAUUUAUGGUAUAUAUACAUAGAAAAAGAAUGAAAGUUUGAGGGGGGUAUUGCCUUUGAGAAGAAGAGUUAUGAGUAGUUUUUAUUUCCUUUUUUAUUAAUCUGUAUUUCAUUUUUUAGGCAAGCAAAUAUAUUAUUUAGACAACAAAAUAUGUAUUAUAAAGAAAAGACUUUUUUUUUUGUUUCUUCUUUGCUUUUCUAAGAGGAAACUUUGACUACAAUUGCUUGUGAGUGAUACCUGUGUUCUGGUAGCUUAAGAAGACACAAUGUGGUUAGGAAAGGAUAAGAACAGAUGGCUUUAAUAAAUGUACUCAAGGCUAAUGUACUCUUCGUAGACUCAGGCUUCAGAUUAGAUCUCUUAUCUGUAUUGGCACCAGGAUGUGGUUUUGAGUUCUCUGCUUUUUCUACAGCUUUAGGGAAAUCUGCAUGCAGACACAUCCAAUUGUCCAAACCAAAAUCACAUCCAGGAUGUGAGGCAGCCUGGGAAAGGUCAUUUUGAGUUCUGUAGUCUCCGAAGUAUGAAAACACAUAUACACAUAUACAUACACACAUUCACACCCACACACUUUUGAAGGAAGAUGGAAUGGAAGAUAGGCACCACAGUGAAACUUUAGAAGAAUUUCCAUUACACUAAGGAAAAAAAGAGGGUCCAUUUUCAUCACUUUUAUCACUGUUGCCUAGAAGAUAAACUGAAUAACAUAAAAUAAAAAGUGUAUAGAACACUUGGAAAAAAUAUAAAAGAUUGGUCCCAUUCUCAGAUGACAUGAUAUUCAGUGAGGAACCAACCAUAAACAGGUUGUUAUGAACUGAAUAUUAGUGUGACCCCAAAAUUCACAUGCUGAAAUCUUAACCCCAACGUGAUGGUGUUAGAUGGUGAGGCUUUUUAGGAGCUGACACAGUAUAAUGCCUCUUCUAUGAAGAAGCGGGCCUUUGUCAGUUACCAAAUCUGCAGAUGCCUUGAUCUUGAACUUCCCAGCCUCCAGAACUGGGAGGAAUAAAUGUUUGUUGUUUGUAAACCACCCAGUUUAUGGUAUUUUAUUAUAGCUGCUCAAAGGGUCUAAGACUCAAGUAUAAGUCAUAAGUAAAUGCAUCAAAUUUGCUGAAUAUAAAUCACAUAUAAAAAUUCAACAGCAUGCUUGGAUCCCUGGGAUGAAUCACAUCUGGUCAUGGCAAAUAAUCUAAAAAAUAAUAAUAAAAUCAAUUUUAAAAAUUAAAAAAGCAACAAUAUUUACUAUUCACUGCCAAUGACCAAUUACAAAAUGGCAUAAACAUGACAUCGGUGGUAAUGACAAAUACCCUAAGGUAACUAGAACUACAAGUAAUAAAAGAUGUGUACGAUUUAUAGAGAAGGUUGUAGAAAGAAAAAAAUUAAAAGUGAAAACCUAAAUGGGAAGAAACAUCAUAUAUAUUGGGUCAAAGUAGAUAUCAUAAUAUAAAUUAUAAAAUACAGAACUAAAUAAUAUUAUUUAGUAUUUUAUAUACUAAACUUCAAAAUGUGUUGGAUACACCUGAAGUAGCACUAAAGAGGAAUUUACAGCUUUAAAUACAUGUAUUGGAGGAGGAAAGAGAUAAAGUUUAAUGUGGCAGUAAGCACCCACUUAAGAAAAAGUACAAAAAGGAAAUAGUAGUAGUAGAAAGUAAUAAAAUAUAAAAGAGGUUUUUAAAAAGAUGCUUACAAAAUGGACAGUUUUUAUGGGGAUUGAACAAGAACAAAGAAAGAAGGCACUAAUAACUCAUGUCAAGAAUGUGGAAGUGGGUAUGUGGAUAUAACUAAAAUGCUGCAGUUAUUCAAGAUAAGAGUAUUAUUAGUAACUAUAAAAUCAUACAUUUAAAAACUUGGUCAAAACGGUCAAAUUUAUAGAAAAAUACACCUCAACAAAACUGAUUCAAGAAAAAUAACCCAUUAAAAAUAAAUCAGCGGUUACCUUCCCCCCCUUUUUUUUUUGACAAGAAAAUAUCAAAUGGUUUUACCAGCAAGAUCUGCCAAAUAUUCAAGAAACGAGUAAUUUAAAUCUUAAACAGAAUUUUCCAGAGAAUAGAAAAUGGGAAGAGGGUUGUUCCUCAUCUUAUUUUAUGAAGCUAGUAUACACAUCGGUGCCAACAUUUGACAAGGGAAGUCUGAAAAAGGAAAAUCACAGACUAAUCUCUGCCAUGAGCAGAGACUUAAAAAAUUAUAAACAAAAUAUUUGCCAACCAAAUCCAAAUAUAAAAAGGACUGGACACCAUGAUCAAGUUGAGCUCAUCCUAGGAAUGUAUCCUUUAUGGUAACAUUUGGGAAAGCAAAAUACAUGGGUGCACAUGCAAGAGGUAAGAGAUUGAGACCAGGAGUCUGUAGGACUUCUGAUUUCAUCCGUUUUUUCCAAGUGAAUUAGAUUUUCUUUAAAAAAGGUUACUGGGUGAAGACGCAGAUAGAGGACCAGGUCUUGGAGAUUUAAGGAGAAAGGAAGUAUGAUAUAGUCUUCCAGAAGACUGGAAGAGUAAAUGGAAUAUAGUGUGAUUGCAUUGGGUCUCAUCUGAGCUUUAUGGGCAUGAAUUUAAAGAUUAUUUAUUAGAUGACCUGGUUUGUGCAGUAAGAAAACAUUUGUUUAGGGAUUAGGAAGGAACAAAUAAAACUAAAACUCUCCCAUUACUCACAGAUGACAUGAUGAUUCUUAUAGAAAACCCAAAAGAUAUUAUGUCAACAUAGAAAAGU
ensembl:lincRNA